rnacentral:SRP_RNA from 1 species
GCCGGGCGUGGUGGCUCACGCCUGUAAUCCCAGCACUUUGGGAGGCUGAGGUGGGCGGAUUACCUGAGGUCAGGAGUUCGAGACCAGCCUGGCCAACAUGGUGAAACCCCAUCUCUA